rnacentral:rRNA from 1 species
ACGAACGCUGGCGGCGUGCUUAACCCAUGCAAGUCGAACGGAAAGGCCCUGCUUUUGUGGGGUGCUCGAGUGGCGAACGGGGGAGUAACACGUGAGUAACCUGCCCUUGACUUUGGGAUAACUUCAGGAAACUGGGGCUAAUACCGGAUAGGAGCUCCUGCUGCAUGGUGGGGGUUGGAAAGUUUCGGCGGUUGGGGAUGGACUCGCGGCUUAUCAGCUUGUUGGUGGGGUAGUGGCUUACCAAGGCUUUGACGGGUAGCCGGCCUGAGAGGGUGACCGGCCACAUUGGGACUGAGAUACGGCCCAGACUCCUACGGGAGGCAGCAGUGGGGAAUAUUGCACAAUGGGCGGAAGCCUGAUGCAGCAACGCCGCGUGCGGGAUGACGGCCUUCGGGUUGUAAACCGCUUUCGCCUGUGACGAAGCGUGAGUGACGGUAAUGGGUAAAGAAGCACCGGCUAACUACGUG